CCCUGGGGAGCCCGUUCCAGGGCUCCACCACCCUCAGGGUGAAGAACCUUUUCCUAAUAUCCAACCUAACCCUCCCCUGGCACACCUUCCUGCCAUUCCCUCGGGUCCUAGAUAUGAAAAGCCAUGUCAGCUGCCCUGCCUCCCCAGGUCUCUGAAGCACUCUCUGACAGGGGCAUUCCCUUUGCUCACCACCACCACCACCACCUCCCGGCACAGCUCUCCGAGCUCGGUUUCUCACAGGAGCCCCUCCCUGGCCUACAGAGCUUCAGAGCCGCCAGAGCCCGGGUUCUGACGCUGCACUGCGCCUUCCGACAGACAACAUUUACUCGGCAUUAAGGGGGUCGCCCACGGCGAGCCAGGCGUCACGAGUGACACGUCAGAGCAGUUGCCUAAGAAGCAUGUGGGAUGUUUGCAGAAGACGCCUUUGCUGGAUUCACACCUCUCAACUCAAAACACCUCUCUUGUAAUGUCAAUAUUUGAAGAUAAUAGUCUGGGUUCAGAGAAGAGGCACAGUUCUUCUAGGGAACAAGAAGUCUCGUCUAUUUUAUAUGAUGAAAUUUGUGUGUCUCCUCACUGACUUGGAAAGGAGCUUAUGGCCACUCCCUUGGAAGAUACUAAUGUCUCUGUGGCAAUCUGCACCUAACCAGGACGUGAAUGGGAUCAUGAAGGACCACAUCUUCCACAGUUGAACCUUAACAUCUGUUUAAAUCAACUAUGAAACUGCUCAGGAAGCUGCAAAACUUCACAGUGUGAAAUUUUUACUGUUAGGCACCUCCAUCAUCAAACUUUAAAGGGUUCACAUACUGAAAAACACCCUGCACUAAAUUGUUCAAGGUGCAUUUGUGCACAUGUGUUUGUGCGUGCUUCUCUGCCUGUUUCAGGAAGCAAGGGAGAGUGCUAUUUGGAUGAAAAUCCAAGUUGUUUCACAUGAAGCCAGGAUGAGGCAGGAUUUGCAUUCUGUGCUCACAUCUGGCUUGUUGGCACUGAUCAAGAAGGAGAAAGGAGCCAGAAACUGCCUGCGGAGCAGGACAGAAGGGAGUUACAGUUAUUGGAGGAGACCGUUUGGCUAGUCCAGACAUAAGAGAUGCGGACACUGUGCCUUGUCACCUCCUGUGACUUAUUUCUAUUCUGGGGAUGAAGAAAGCUUGAAAGGUCGGUGAUUUUCCCAUGGGGUAGAUCCAAUCAAAGAUUCUCUUCUGGGGGAUGAACUAGGGCUGCUUAAAAGUAGUUCCCUGCCGCACUACCUUUUCUUUCAACAACCAGAGGUAUCAGGAGGGAAUGAUAAAUGAACUGAGCCUGAAUUUCCAUGGAUUAACAUCUCUGCUUCCCAGGAAUUGAGGGCAGUUAAUAAAUCUCAGAAGGUUGCUCAGCAACUCUCAGGAUGGUUGCCUUCUUUUAUACUGAGCUGCAGAAUGCAUCGGUUUUGACUAAACAUGUCCUUGGAAGAAGCAUUCUUUGUCUGGAGAACAGACCGAGUUGAACUCUGGAAAUGACAGGAUUGCCGAGAGCUGGAAAAAACCUCCAUUUCACUGUCAGAAAGCUUUUUUGUAUUUUCCUUUUCUCCCAACUGCAGGCUCCCAGGAACUCUUUCUUUAGGAGUCAAAUGUCUCCUGUUUCCUCUCUGUGCUUGUGCAAUAAACAAACACUAUUUUUACAGUGA